rnacentral:snRNA from 1 species
CCCAACUGACAGACUUUUGAU